AUACGUAGGGGGCAAGCGUUAUCCGGAUUUACUGGGUGUAAAGGGAGCGUAGACGGCGAAGCAAGUCUGAAGUGAAAGGACGGGGCCCAACCCCGGAACUGCUUUGGAAACUGUUUGGCUGGAGUGCGGGAGGGGUAAGCGGAAUUCCUAGUGUAGCGGUGAAAUGCGUAGAUAUUAGGAGGAACACCGGUGGCGAAGGCGGCUUACUGGACCGUAACUGACGUUGAGGCUCGAAGGCGUGGGGAGCAAACAGGAUUAGAUACCCUGGUAGUCCACGCGGUAAACGAUGAUCACUAGGUGUCCGUGGGUAUGACCCAUGGGUGCCGCAGCCAACGCAAUAAGUGAUCCACCGGGGGAGUACGUUCGCAAGAAUGAAACUCAAAGGAAUUGACGGGG
rnacentral:rRNA from 1 species